rnacentral:rRNA from 1 species
UACGUAGGGUGCGAGCGUUAAUCGGAAUUACUGGGCGUAAAGGGUGCGCAGGCGGUUUUGCAAGUCAGGCGUGAAAUCCCCGGGCUUAACCUGGGAAUGGCGCUUGAAACUACGGGACUGGAGUAUGGCAGAGGGAGGUGGAAUUCCACGUGUAGCGGUGAAAUGCGUAGAGAUGUGGAGGAACACCGAUGGCGAAGGCAGCCUCCUGGGCCAAUACUGACGCUCAUGCACGAAAGCGUGGGGAGCAAACAGG